CUAAUAAUUUAAUUGUUGUGUAACUUCUAAUUUAAAGUGAUUGAGUCAACAAGUACAAAGACCGCCAAAGCCCGCCCCGCCCAACUAAUAAACAGCAACAUGGCUGGUCUUCCGAAGCUGGAGAACUUCAUAGACGGUCAGUUUCUACCGACAGGCAGCUACAUAAAGAGCUAUGACCCGUCCACUGGAGAACAUUAUCUUAACAUACCAGACAGCGGAGCCGAGGAGGUACAGAAAGCUGUAGAAGCAGCAAGGAAAGCUUUCAUAACGUAAGAAUAACAAUAGUGCAUUCAUGAUCUCGAGUAGCUUGUAAAGUGUUAAUUCUAAUAAUUGAGGUACUAAUCAGGACUGUGAAAGCACUCUUUAGGUAGCAUAGUAGCAAGAAUAGACACUCU